rnacentral:sRNA from 1 species
CUUGAUCAGAAUACUUCGGACUUCAGAUCAUCCUCGGGAAUGUGCGCCCGCUCACACCGCCUCGCCAAGGCU